rnacentral:rRNA from 1 species
GAGGAAAAGAAACCAACAGGGAUUGCCCCAGUAAUGGCGAAUGAAGCGGCAAGAGCCCAAAUUUGAAAUCGGGCAACCGAGUUGUAAUUUGGAGACGGGACACUAGAGAGGAGGAAGGCGAUUAAGUGCCUUGGAACAGGCUGCCGUAGAGGGUGAGAGCCCCGUGAAUCGCUGGAGACCGAUCAAUUAGUGCCCGCCGAAGAGUCGAGUUGUUUGGGAAUGCAGCUCUAAGUGGGUGGUAUAUUCCAUCUAAGGCUAAAUAUUAGCGAGAGACCGAUAGCAAACAAGUACAGUGAUGGAAAGAUGAAAAGAACUUUGGAAAGAGAGUGAAAUAGUACGUGAAAUUGUUGAAAGGGAAGGGUAUUUGAUCCGACAUGGUGUUUAGCAGCGGCCCGUUCCUCGUGGAUGGGUGCACCUGGUUUACACUGGGCCAGCAUCGGUUCUGGGAGCCAUAUACGGGGUUCGUGAAUGUGGCCCUUCGAUUCUGUCGGAGGGUGUUAUAGCGCGGACAUCUUGUGGCUAGCCGGGACCGGGGACUGCGGUGACUUGUCACCAAGGAUGCUGGCAGAACGAGCAAAUACCACCCGUCUU